UACAGACUAACACGGCUGCUACUCUGAAACCUAAUAUUAUUUGAGAAUCCAGUGAGAAUUCCUGCUUUUCAGCCACAUCCAGCACGUUUAUUGGCAUAAGCAAUCUUGGCAUUUAUUUCUUUUUUGGCUGUAUUGCAAUGGUUUUGCAUUAACUGAUCUUUUAGCUUCAUUAGAGAUCCACAGUAACCCCCAUUCUGCACAGUGCACUUGCCAAAAAAACUAACUAGUACUAAAAUGUCGGUCAAGUACUGAUAGGAAUACUAACAGUGUUGGGGACACUGGGGCAUGGCCACUAGGUAACUCGAGGGGAUGGAAGACCACGAGUGUUGAUGAAGCCCCCUCGCACUAGGCCCAAGUGUCCUUGCCCCCCCCUCCCCCCGGAGGCACUCGCAGCAGCUCUGCGUACUAGGGCCAAGUGUCCUUGGCCCCCCCGCCUGGAGGCACACACAGCAGUUAUGCUGAGGAUCUGCAACAAUAUACUGCAAAAUCAGACUGCCUGAAACUAAGCAAGGCCACACAGGGCAGAUAUGGAAGAACAAUGCUGAAUAAAGCAGCUUUAUGUAUAGUUUAACAAAUGACACAGAGAACCAGGGAAUUAGCUGGGAACUGGAUUGGCUGGCUAUAUGGAUACUUGGGGCAGCUUGCUAUUGGAUAAGUAUGCUGGGAAAAAGGAUGUAUAAAAGCCUGUGUAACUUCCUGCUCUGUGUACAGGAUUUGAGAUUCAAAUCUCCCUGUACCUAUUUGAAGCUUCAAAUAAACUUUUCUGCUUCUCCACCCCGUUGUGAUUAUUGGGUGUAGCACACCGGGUAACGAACCACUCAAGCUGUUGGUCAGCCUCUCGGCACUGGGUGCCAGCAACAACAGUGCUCGUGUUUCAGUGGCUAAGGCACUAGACUGGGAGUCUAGGGUGACCAAAGGGCAAGUGUGAAAGAUUGGGAUGGGGUGUGUGUGGGGGGGAAAAUAGGUGCCUAUAAGAAAAAGCCCCCCAAAAAAUCAGGACUGUCCCUCAGGUGCUGACUUCUACUGGUGCCAGUGGGUGCUUGGCCCCCCUCUGCCCCAAAUCCCUGCCCCUCCCCCUGAGCAUGCCAUGUUCCCACUCCUCCCCCCUGGAGCUUGCUACAGCUGUUUGGCAGCAGCAAGCGCUGGGAGAUAGGCAGAGGAGCGGGGACAUGGCGUGCUCAGGGAAGGAAGCAGAGGAAGAGGUGAGGAAGGGUGGGGAGCUUGGCUGCUGGUGGGUGCAGAGCACCCACUAAUUUCUCCCUGUGGGUGCUCCAGCCCCAAAGCACCCAUAGAGUUGGUGCCUAUGCUGUCCCUAUAAAAUGGGGACUUCUGGUCACCCUAUGGGAGUCAGGAGACCCGGGUCUAGUGCCUCUCUCUACCACUCACCUGCUGUGUAAUCUUAAAUCACUCACCACCCUAUCCUCAGUUUCCUUAUCUGUAAAAUAGGGCUAGGGAUUUUUUGUAAAGUUCCUUGGGAGCAUGCAUAAACAAAGCAUCCAGCAACUGCUCAAAUAUCCAUCAGUGAUAGCCUCUGGUCAGAGGCUGGUGAAGAGAUGGGGAUUUCUUAAACAUUUAGGCAACCAGGCAUCUUUAAAAAAGAGCCCUCCUUGCCAAGACGUGAGAUGCCAAAGAGGCACACAGCACAUCCGCACAGGGCCCUUCACAGAGGGCAGGGGCAACACGAGCAAGAGCACAAACUUCUUGGGCUUUUGGAGGAGCAGCCUCCACCUCCUUGAUAGAGAGCGCUUCACCCGCCUCCCAGAUAACUGCAGCCCUGCAUUUAAUAACCUGUGGGGGGGGGGAAGAAUUAUACUUGCGCAAGAGCCUGUAGUCACUAAAAAUGACCAGGAGCAAAUACAAAAAUAAUGGCAUCACAUUAAUGUCCACUUCGCUGCUCAUAUGCAUCUUGCUCAUUUCAGGAAUCCAGAGCAUUUUAUUCCAAGCGAAGUUGUCCCUGCUGAGUGACUUUCCCCUUCUAUAGGUUGAGUUUCAUCCGACUAAGCUGUAUUCUGUUACUUACAGUCAUUUUACUUCACAGGGCAUUGCCAUGGAAAACAUUUUCUUCCUAGUAUGUUCAUUCAAAGACCCCAGCUACAGUGGGAGCAGAGCUGCCUGCCUUCUAGAGACUGAAGUUUGUGUGUCGGCCUCUGUUGGUAAGCUGUCCCAGCUGUGCAGAGACUGCUUCUUUCCACUGAAGAGUCUGACUUUGGCAAGAACAUAGUGACAAUGGAUCCUGCUCUGAGAGCAGCCACCUGGCCCACCAACCACAUCCAGAUUGGAACACACUGUCCUCUACAGCUUCUCCUGGAAUGGCAGGAACAGUCAUCUGUACCCAGAAAUUUCAUUGAACUGGAGCAGCUGGGGGAGCAGAUUCCAGCUAAGGACCAGAAUGAACUGAGCACUGAUUUUGUAAGCAAGUAGUUUAAAUGGGGUGAAACUUGGGGGUUUGCAAGACAAAUCAGACUCCUGAAAGGGGUACAGUAGUCUGGAAAGGUUGAGAGCCACUGACCUGGCAAGAGGGUGUCUUCCCCACCACUCAACUAUAAAGAUGAGGGGUCUGACCCUCAAAUGAUGAGGGUCAGUUAAUUGCAUAGACUAUUACUAUACUAUUGAGGCCUUAACUUGCCUAGCAUUGUUGAAUCCACAGUAUUGCUCACAGCACAAUUUUGAGUGGGAGCCCUGGGUGGCCACUCAAAAUUGUGGCAAAGCAAUAAUGGAACCUUAUUACCACAAAUAUGGUAGAAUUAGUUUUCCCACAAUUUUUCAUGUUUUUUCUACAAGGCAGAGAGUUAUCCCACAAGUACAGCCUUAUGUACUAUAAGAGUGCAUCAAGUGAGGUCUUGUAUGCAAGCCUAUGAUACACCGGUUAUUAAUAUUUAGAACUGUGAGGAAUUAUGGGUAAUCAUGGAUAUGCUUUUGUCAUAAAUAUAAAGGGAAGGGUAAACACCUUUAAAAUCCCUCCUGGCCAGAGGAAAAAUCCUUUCACCUGUAAAGGGUUAAGAAGCUAAAAUAACCUCGCUGGCACCUGACCAAAAUGACCAAUGAGGAGACAAGAUAUUUUCAAAAGCUGGGAGGAGGGAGAAAAACAAAGGGUCUGUGUCUGUCUGAUACGAUGCUUUUGCUGGGGACAGAACAGGAAUGGAGUCUUAGAACUUUUAGUAAGUAAUCUAGCUAGGUAUGCGUUAGAUUAUGAUUUCUUUAAAUGGCUGAGAAAAGAAUUGUGCUGAAUAGAAUGAUUAUUUCUGUCUGUGUGCCUUUUUGUAACUUAAGGUUUUGCCUAGAAGGAUUCUCUAUGUUUUGAAUCUAAUUACCCUGUCAGGUAUUUACCAUCCUGAUUUUAGAGGUGAUUCUUUUUACUUCUGUUAAAAUCCUUCUUUUCAGAAACUGAGUGUUUUUUCAUUGUUCUUAAGAUCCAAGGGUUUGGGUCUGUGAUCACGUAUGCAAAUUGGUGAGGAUUUUUACCAAGCCUUCCCCAGGAAGCGGGUGCAAGGGUUGGGAGGAUUUUGGGGGGGGAAGACGUUUUCAAACAAUGUUUUCCUAAUAAAAAUAAACCCAGAUAAAUGUUUGGUGGUGGCAGUGGAAGUUUCAAGGGCAAAGAGUAAAAUAGUUUGGGAAAGUUGGGAAAGUUUUAACCUAAGCUGGUAAAAGUAAGCUUAGGAGCUUUUCAUGCAGGUCCCCACAUCUGUGCCCUAGAGUUCAGAGUGGGGAAGGAACCUUGACAGCUUUAUACUAUUCAGUGGCAGCCAUCUUUCAGUUGCCAGUCUGAGCUUUAUGUAAGCCCCACCUGUUCCCUCAUAGGAGAGAGCUUGCUUCCAAUUAGUGACCUCCUCAUAGCCUAAAUCUCCCCACUAUUUGCUGCUUAAUUGGACCUGCCUGGCCUAAGUCAAUCCUCUGAGGUCCUGUGUGGGGAGUAAACCACAUCACAAGGUCAAAAAGACAUUGGAGUUAUCCAUGACUUAAGGGAUCCAAGGGGCCUGGUCUCUCUCUCUCAAAAAAAAAUCCACAGAAAAUUGGGUCCUUCAGCCAAGGAGGUUUAAGUGUCUGGGAAGUGACUGCAGUUGAGAAACCUGCUUCAGGGAAGAUUUUAAGUUGCUGAAGUUAGGUGUGUCUUAGAAGCAGAUUUUUACUUUUGUUUGUUACCCUUUCUAGCUUUUCUCCUUAUACUUGGAGUCACUUAAACCUUUGACAUAGUCUUUAGUCCACUUAAUUUACUAUAAAGCAAUUUAGUGCUGUGAUUAAGUUGAGUUAGUUAAUCACAAUUAAUAAACUAUUGCUACCAUCUCUUUAAAGGAGCAGCAAGCUUAAUUUCUGUGAGUGUUCCAAGAGAAGGUGGGCCACUGUAGGGAAACGAAUCUGGGGAACUGAGGAGUAGGGGGUUCUGUUUGUUGGUGGCAAGGCAAGGUUUGGAUUGGCAGAGUCCUGAAGAGUUUCCUAACAGGAGAAACAGGUGCAUCAGAGAUCUGUCACACAACUUACCAGUGGCAAAACUCUCACUUGUUGAGAGGUAACAUAGUAACUCAAUUCUGGGAACCUUGGCAUAUUGUCACAUUGGCAGCUGAUUUGGGGGAAAUUCAGAAGUAAUAAAUGGGUUGUGGAAGCUAGGGGGUGACCUGAAUGCUUGUUUGCCGGCCAUUAGCGUCCAGAUUGGGAGCAUAGCUUUUACAGUCCCCAGAGCUGCAGGGCAAGAGUUACAUAACCCCUUACUGCUCUGAACCCCCAGAACAUCAGACCGCCACCAAUAUUCCCUCUUGCUCUGGUGGUCCAUUCCAAAUUUUAAUAUCUAGGGCAUUUGAAGUACCAUGCAUGGUCUCCUUGGAUGAGUCAGACAUUGCUACAUCUUUGAGAGUUUGAACUGCAGGGCUGAAGCCGCAGCAUUGUCAUACCCCCUUCCAGAGUCCUUCAACUUUGCCUCCACCAUCCAGGCCCCACUCUGGUCCAUCCCAAAAAUGGUCCCCAAGCAACACAGUUAUAAGUCAAUGAUUUUAUUGAUAUCUGACAAGCCAAUAUUAUAGCUGAAGCAAUGUCAAAAAGACAGACAUGAAUAGUCAGGCCUCUGUACCCAUGCAUUUCUUGGCCAGCAAUGGCCUCAAGCCACAAAAAGGCCCCACUACUUUAAGUGUAAGAGGGCUAAGACCUUACACUGGGUUUACAGGGCAGUCAUUUUGACUCACAUGAAAGUGACCCAGGACUAAAUACACAUGGGAAAGGUGACCCAAACUCUUCUUAAAAGGUUGUCAUUAGACCAAGGGUAUGAAAAAAGGCCAGGGCUAAGAGUGAGGGAAAGGAGAGACCUACAUUCUCUCAGUAGCCAGGGGUCAUUUUGCCUAGCAGUUACCUGGGACCCAAGAGGAGCUAAAUUGGGCGUUUAAUGGGUUGGCAGUGUCCCUAUCCCCUCCUUCGUGAAAGGCCACUCCACCUCACUACACCCCUGGGACACCACCCCUUACCAGGAAUUCAAGGUUAGGUCCUUAGGUGGGACAGUGCAGUCCAACCAUCUCAAGGAGCCCAGGCCCUUAGGCAGGGCCCAGCAAAACAAAUAUAGUCCAGUAUUUAGCAUCCUGACUCCAGCAGGCAAACUCAGGCUUCUGAGCUUAAGGGCUGCCAACCCAGGGUGUGGUUGGCAGCAGGGCAUAGGGAGACCCAGGCUCACCCUAUUCCACCAGGUCCCAGCACAGGGCUCUAACCAUGACAGUGUUCCACCACUGGAUCAGCAGGGAGCCAACCAAAACACACUGACCAGCAUUCAGGCAGCCACUGAAUUAUAGUCAGCUGUCCCUGGGCUACUUCUUACUCUCUCCCCAUAAGGUACUUGCAGCUCAGGGUCAUCCUGCAUCUCCUCAAGGUAUACAGCAAGCAGCAGCUCUUCUCAGUCUCAUCCUCAGGCAGGGCACAGUGCAGCUGUUGCUUCAGGCUCAAGAGCAAUCUGAAGACAUCUGCUCCUUUCCCUAGCUCAGGCUGAACCAUAUUAGAGGCUCCACCUUUUAUACUUCCUGUCCCGCCUCUUAGGUUCCUGUAGGAAGGGUGAGCCCAGCCUGGCUCCGCCCACCAGGGAUCAGAGAGUGGUCCCUCCCCCUCCAGCUCAGUGGGAGGCUACUCCAACUCAGUAUGGGGGGGAACUGAAGCCUUGUUGCGUGGAGAGGUCAGUCACACAGGGCAUUUAAAAGGUGUGAAACAGAAAGAGACCGGAACCCAUAUUUAAGCGUGGUCCUUGAGCUACAGAUAUGUAAUGGAUACCCAAAUCAUUUGUUUGGAGGUGAAGGACAUUGAUCACUAUUUACAGGGAGGUCCUUCUACAUGGCACUUCUAGGGGGCUUAAACCCACUGAAGCAAGUGUUUAGGACCCGAGCCCUCGUUACAGGAGAGCAGAGGCAUGCGUACAGUGUGUCUCCAUCCUUUCUCCGGGGCUGUUUCUUCCCUUCUCUUUUCCUGCCAUUUCUUUGGUGCUUCUGUGGUCUUGUCUGUUGUUGGGUCACCCUCAUAGUUAUAUAAGUAUGGUAAAAUUAUAAUCAAGUAGUAGUAAAAUUAAAGAUAGAUAUAAGAGUUAUAUAGGUAUUGUAAAAGGUUAUGAAUAUCACUUCCAUGCUGUACUAUUAUGUUGAAUUUCACUAUGUAACAAAUGCAAGGCCAAAGUGCUAAUUAUCUCAAGCCGGUACAAGGACUGAGUUAAUAGGUUAUGCAAGGAGAUUAUAAGAAUGGCCAGUACAGGACAAAGUCUGUGCUGGAGAGUGAUACGAACUUUGAGAAAACGGUGUUCUUUGAAGCAACACCCUGAUGCUCUUCCUCCCCCACGGGGGCCCCUUAUCAUGCCUAUGUAAAUCUUUGUAACCAAAGAGGGAAAAACAAUGGGAUGAAACUUGUUAAACCCAAAGGAGUCAUGAGACUGUGUUUUUAAGUAAAAGAAUGAAUAAUGAGUGCAUGGAAUGGAAUGUCUGAAGCAGGUAAAUAAUUGGUUAGUAAAUGGUGCCAGCCUAAUCCUAAGAAUUACAACCUUGGUAUCGAUGGGCCGAAGAGUAUGCAGAGUGGAGAUAACCGGAUGACCCCCAGAGGGCGAACCGGAAUCCACCCAAAACGCAUAAAGGAAGAACAAGAAGAUAACACCUAGCUGUCAUGGAGCAGUCAUGGAUGUACCAUCUGCUGAUUGAGCUGAUUGAUGGUCAUCUCAAUUGUAAAUUCAGCACGAUGAAGCAACUUCCAUAGACUUGUAUUGAACCAGAGACCUAUAAAGAUUGGACCCUGGGACUGUGUUCUUUGAGUCUGGUUCUGCAACCACACUCCAGGCGCAUCGGAUGCGCAUCUGACAAUGACUCGGCUCCACUCUCAUGUCCAGGCCACCUGGUCGGUGACUUGGCACGAGCAACAUCUAGGCUGGUAACUAUAACAACCUUUAUGUAGAACCUGUGUGUGAAUGUCUGUGUGUGUGAAUGGAUCUAUAUAGAAAUUGCAUAUAGUAAUGUUUUGUUGUAGUUACAAUAAACAUGGCAUUUCUUUUGCCUUA